AACGAACGCUGGCGGCAUGCCUAACACAUGCAAGUCGAACGAGACCUUCGGGUCUAGUGGCGCACGGGUGCGUAACGCGUGGGAACCUGCCCUUAGGUUCGGAAUAACUCCCCGAAAGGGGUGCUAAUACCGGAUAAGGUCUUAGGACCAAAGAUUUAUCGCCUUUGGAUGGGCCCGCGUUGGAUUAGCUAGUUGGUAGGGUAAAAGCCUACCAAGGCGACGAUCCAUAGCUGGUCUGAGAGGAUGAUCAGCCACACUGGGACUGAGACACGGCCCAGACUCCUACGGGAGGCAGCAGUGGGGAAUAUUGGACAAUGGGCGAAAGCCUGAUCCAGCAAUGCCGCGUGAGUGAUGAAGGCCUUAGGGUUGUAAAGCUCUUUUACCCGGGAUGAUAAUGACAGUACCGGGAGAAUAAGCUCCGGCUAACUCCGUG
rnacentral:rRNA from 1 species